AGUGAACGCUGGCGGUAGGCCUAACACAUGCCAGUCGAACGGCAGCACAGUAAGAGCUUGCUCUUACGGGUGGCGAGUGGCGGACGGGUGAGGAAUACAUCGGAAUCUACUUUUUCGUGGGGGAUAACGUAGGGAAACUUACGCUAAUACCGCAUACGACCUACGGGUGAAAGCAGGGGAUCUUCGGACCUUGCGCGAUUGAAAGAGCCGAUGUCGGAUUAGCUAGUUGGCGGGGUAAAGGCCCACCAAGGCGACGAUCCGUAGCUGGUCUGAGAGGAUGAUCAGCCACACUGGAACUGAGACACGGUCCAGGCUCCUACGGGAGGCAGCAGUGGGGAAUAUUGGACAAUGGGCGCAAGCCUGAUCCAGCCAUACCGCGUGGGUGAAGAAGGCCUUCGGGUUGUAAAGCCCUUUUGUUGGGAAAGAAAAGCAGCAGGUUAAUACCCCGCUGUUCUGACGGUACCCAAAGAAUAAGCACCGGCUAACUUCGUG
rnacentral:rRNA from 1 species